rnacentral:rRNA from 1 species
GAUGAACGCUGGCGGCGUGCCUAACACAUGCAAGUCGAACGGAGAUUAUUGACGGAAGUUUUCGGAUGGAAGACGGUAAUCUUAGUGGCGGACGGGUGAGUAACGCGUGGGUAACCUGCCCCGUACAGGGGGAUAGCGUCGGGAAACUGACGGUAAGACCGCAUAGGACCACAUAUUCGCAUGGAUAAGUGGUGAAAAGGGAAACCUGGUAUGGGAUGGACCCGCGUCCGAUUAGCCAGUUGGCAGGUAAAGGCCUACCAAAGCUUCGAUCGGUAGCCGGACUGAGAGGUCGGACGGCCACAUUGGGACUGAGACACGGCCCAG